rnacentral:rRNA from 1 species
UACGUAGGGGCUAGCGUUGUCCGGAAUCAUUGGGCGUAAAGAGCGUGUAGGCGGCCCGGUAAGUCCGCUGUAAAAGUCAAAGGCUCAACCUUUGAAUGUCAGUGGAUACUGCCGGGCUAGAGUCCGGAAGAGGCGAGUGGAACUCCUGGUGUAGCGGUGGAAUGCGCAGAUAUCAGGAGGAACACCGGUGGCGAAGGCGGGUCUCUGGGCCGAUACUGACGCUGAGGAGCGAAAGCGUGGGGAGCGAACAGG